rnacentral:rRNA from 1 species
AUUGAACGCUAGCGGCAGGCCUAACACAUGCAAGUCGAACGGUAGCACAGAGAGCUUGCUCUCGGGUGACGAGUGGCGGACGGGUGAGUAAUGUCUGGGAAACUGCCCGAUGGAGGGGGAUAACUACUGGAAACGGUAGCUAAUACCGCAUAACGUCGCAAGACCAAAGUGGGGGACCUUCGGGCCUCACACCAUCGGAUGUGCCCAGAUGGGAUUAGCUAGUAGGUGGGGUAAUGGCUCACCUAGGCGACGAUCCCUAGCUGGUCUGAGAGGAUGAACAGCCAGACUGGAACCGAGACACGGUCCAGACUCCUACGGGAGGCAGCAGUGGGGAAUAUUGCACAAUGGGCGCAAGCCUGAUGCAGCCAUGCCGCGUGUAUGAAGAAGGCCUUCGGGUUGUAAAGUACUUUCAGCGGGGAGGAAGGCGGUGAUGUUAAUAGCUUCACCGAUUGACGUUACCCGCAGAAGAAGCACCGGCUAACUCCGUGCCAGCCGCCGCCGUAA